rnacentral:rRNA from 1 species
UACGGAGGAUGCAAGCGUUAUCCGGAUUUAUUGGGUUUAAAGGGUCCGUAGGCGGGCUAAUAAGUCAGUGGUGAAAUCGAGCAGCUUAACUGUUCAACUGCCAUUGAAACUGUUGGUCUUGAGUGAAUUUGAAGUUGCCGGAAUAUGUAGUGUAGCGGUGAAAUGCAUAGAUAUUACAUAGAACACCAAUUGCGAAGGCAGGUAACUAAGAUUUAACUGACGCUGAUGGACGAAAGCGUGGGGAGCGAACAGGAUUAGAUACCCU